GUGUGUAGCUCAGUGGCAGAGUGCUUGCCUAGCAUGUGCAGGGCCCUGGGUUCAAUCCCCAGCACUACA
rnacentral:tRNA from 1 species